rnacentral:rRNA from 1 species
GAUGAACGCUAGCGGCAGGCUUAAUACAUGCAAGUCGAGGGGCAGCACGAAUAGCAAUAUUUGGUGGCGACCGGCGCACGGGUGCGUAACACGUAUACAACCUACCUAUAACAGGGGGAUAGCCUUUCGAAAGAGAGAUUAAUACCCCGUAAUAAAUUGAGUGGCAUCACUUGAUUUUGAAAGCUACGGCGGUUAUAGAUGGGUAUGCGUCUGAUUAGCUAGUUGGUGAGGUAACGGCUCACCAAGGCGACGAUCAGUAGGGGAUCUGAGAGGACUAACCCCCACACUGGUACUGAGACACGGACCAGACUCCUACGGGAGGCAGCAGUAAGGAAUAUUGGUCAAUGGAGGCAACUCUGAACCAGCCAUGCCGCGUGCAGGAUGACGGCCCUAUGGGUUGUAAACUGCUUUUGUACCAGAGAAAACCUACUCACGUGUGAGUAGCUGAUAGUAUGGUAAGAAUAAGCAUCGGCUAACUUCGUG